GUGGAUAACUUCGGGAAACCGGAGCUAAUACCGGAUAAUAUUUUGAACCGCAUGGUUCAAAAGUGAAAGACGGUCUUGCUGUCACUUAUAGAUGGAUCCGCGCUGCAUUAGCCAGUUGGUAAGGUAACGGCUUACCAAGGCAACGAUGCAUAGCCACCUGAGAGGGUGAUCGGCCACACUGGAACUGAGACACGGUCCAG
rnacentral:rRNA from 1 species